GCCAGAGGGAUGCAGUGGUUUGAGCGCCGGACUGUGACUCUGGAGACCAGGGUUCGAAUCCCUGCUCAACCA